UUGGGAAUCUUGCACAAUGGGCGAAAGCCUGAUGCAGCGACGUCGCGUGGGGGACGAAGGUCUUCGGAUCGUAAACCCCUUUUGUCGGGGAAGAUAGUGACGGUACCCGGCGAAUAAGCCCCGGCUAACUACGUGCCAGCAGCCGCGGUAAUACGUAGGGGGCGAGCGUUGUCCGGAUUUACUGGGCGUAAAGAGCGCGUAGGCGGUUCGUUAAGUUGGCUGUGAAAUCUCCCGGCCUAACUGGGAGGCGUCAGCCGAGACUGGCGAACUUGAGGGCGGUAGAGGAAGGUGGAACUCCGGGUGUAGUGGUGAAAUGCGUAGAUAUCCGGAAGAAUACCGGUGGCGAAGGCGGCCUUCUGGGCCGUACCUGACGCUGAGGCGCGAAAGCGUGGGGAGCGAACUGAAUUAGAUACUCAGGUAGUCCACGCCCUAAACGAUGGACGCUAGGUGUCGGGGGUAUCGGACCCCUCCGGUGCCGAAGCUAACGCAUUAAGCGUCCGCCUGGGGAGUACGGCCGCAAGGCUAAAACUCAAAGG
rnacentral:rRNA from 1 species